AACGGCCAUACCAUGCUGAAUAUACCGGUUCUCGUUAGAUCACCGAAGUCAAGCAUCAGGCGCGGUCAGUACUUGGGUGGGUGACCACCUGGGAACACCGCUUGCUGUU